CCUACGGGAGGCAGCAGUGGGGAAUCUUGCGCAAUGGGCGAAAGCCUGACGCAGCGACGCCGCGUGCGGGACGAAGGCCUUCGGGUCGUAAACCGCUUUCAGCAGGGACGAUAGUGACGGUACCUGCAGAAGAAGCCCCGGCCAACUACGUGC
rnacentral:rRNA from 1 species